AGCGAACGCUAGCGGCGGGCUUAACACAUGCAAGUCGAGCGGAGGGGCAACCCUCAGCGGCGAACGGGUGAGUAACACGUAGGUAAUGUACCCUCUGGUGGGGAAUAACCGUGGGAAACCAUGGCUAAUACCGCAUAUGUCUUUCGAGAUGAAAGCAGCAAUGCGCCAGAGGAGCAGCCUGCGGCCGAUUAUUUAGUCCUAGUUGGUGAGGUAAUGGCUCACCAAGGGUACGAUCGGUAGCUGGUCUGAGAGGAUGAUCAGCCACACUGGAACUGAGACACGGUCCAGACUCCUACGGGAGGCAGCAGUGGGGAAUAUUGCGCAAUGGGCGAAAGCCUGACGCAGCCACGCCGCGUGAGUGAUGAAGGCC
rnacentral:rRNA from 1 species